GACGAACGCUGGCGGCGUGCUUAACACAUGCAAGUCGAACGGAAAGGCCCUGCUUGCAGGGUACUCGAGUGGCGAACGGGUGAGUAACACGUGGGUGAUCUGCCCUGCACUUCGGGAUAAGCCUGGGAAACUGGGUCUAAUACCGGAUAGGAGCCAUUUUUAGUGUGAUGGUUGGAAAGUUUUUUCGGUGUAGGAUGAGCUCGCGGCCUAUCAGCUUGUUGGUGGGUAAUGGCCUACCAAGGCGGCGACGGGUAGCCGGCCUGAGAGGGUGGACGGCCACAUUGGGACUGAGAUACGGCCCAGACUCCUACGGGAGGCAGCAGUGGGGAAUAUUGCACAAUGGGCGCAAGCCUGAUGCAGCGACGCCGCGUGGGGGAUGACGGCCUUCGGGUUGUAAACUCCUUUCGCUAGGGACGAAGCUUUUUGUGACGGUUCCUAGAUAAGAAGCACCGGCUAACUACGUG
rnacentral:rRNA from 1 species